UACGGGGGGGGGCAAGCGUUGUUCGGAAUUACUGGGACGUAAAGGGCUCGUAGGCGGCCAACUAAGUCAUACGUGAAAUCCCUCAGCUUAACUGGGGAACUGCGUGUGAUACUGGAUGGCUUGGAUUUGGGAGAGGGAUGCGGAAUUCCAGGUGUAGCGGUGAAAUGCGUAGAUAUCUGGAGGAACACCGGUGGCGAAGGCGGCAUCCUGGACCAAUAUUGACGCUGAGGAGCGAAAGCCAGGGGAGCAAACGGG
rnacentral:rRNA from 1 species